AGCUCCAAUAGCGUAUAUUAAAGUUGUUGCAGUUAAAAAGCUCGUAGUUGAAUUUCGGGACUGGCUGGACGGUCCGCCCUUCGGGUGAGUACUGUCUGUGGUCGGGUCCUACCUUCUGGCGAAGCGUCAUGGCCUUAAUUGGGUGUGGCGGGGAACCAGGACUUUUACUUUGAAAAAAUUAGAGUGUUCAAAGCAGGCAAUCGCUUGAAUACAUUAGCAUGGAAUAAUGGAAUAGGACUUUGGUUCUAUU
rnacentral:rRNA from 1 species